AACGAUGACCGAACCUCCCUGAGAGCGACAGAUCUCAUUCCAUGUCAGAAGCCCAGCAGGAACGGGCCUGGUCAGUACCUGGAUGAGAGACUGCUUUGAAAUACAGGGCGCUGUAGGGU
rnacentral:rRNA from 1 species